rnacentral:rRNA from 1 species
GAUGAACGCUAGCGAUAGGCUUAACACAUGCAAGUCGAGGGGCAGCAUAAGAUCAGCUUGCUGAUUUUGAUGGCGACCGGCGGAUGGGUGAGUAACGCGUAUGCAAUCUACCUUUUACACAGGGAUAGCCCGAAGAAAUUCGGAUUAAUACCUGAUAAUAUGUUUAUUUCGCAUGGGAUAAACAUUAAAGAUUUAUUGGUAAAAGAUGAGCAUGCGUUCCAUUAGCUUGUUGGUAAGGUCACGGCUUACCAAGGCAACGAUGGAUAGGGGAACUGAGAGGUUUAUCCCCCACACUGGGACUGAGACACGGCCCAGACUCCUACGGGAGGCAGCAGUGAGGAAUAUUGGUCAAUGGACGAGAGUCUGAACCAGCCAAGUCGCGUGAAGGAUGACUGCCUUAUGGGUUGUAAACUUCUUUUAUACAGGAAUAAAAGAGCUACGUGUAGCUCAUUGCAUGUACUGUAUGAAUAAGCAUCGGC